rnacentral:tRNA from 1 species
GGGGAUAUUGCUCAGUGGUAGAGCACUUGCCUACCAUGCAUGAGGCCCUGGGUUCAAAUGCCAUUAACCCCC